rnacentral:rRNA from 1 species
UACGGGGGGAGCAAGCGUUGUUCGGAUUUACUGGGCGUAAAGGGCGCGUAGGCGGCCAGCGCAAGUCAGUUGUGAAAUCUCCGGGCUUAACUCGGAACGGUCAACUGAUACUGCGCGGCUAGAGUGCAGAAGGGGCAACUGGAAUUCUCGGUGUAGCGGUGAAAUGCGUAGAUAUCGAGAGGAACACCGGUGGCGAAGGCGAGUCCCUGGACAACACCUGACACUGAGGCACGAAAGCUAGGGGGAGCAAACAGG